GCGCCCGUAGCUCAGCCGGAUAGAGCAACGGACUUCUAAUCCGUAGGUCGCAGGUUCGAAUCCUGCCGGGCGCGCCA
rnacentral:tRNA from 1 species